GAUGAACGCUGGCGGCGUGCCUAAUACAUGCAAGUCGAGCGAACGGACGAGAAGCUUGCUUCUCUGAUGUUAGCGGCGGACGGGUGAGUAACACGUGGAUAACCUACCUAUAAGACUGGGAUAACUUCGGGAAACCGUAGCUAAUACCGGAUAAUAUUUUGAACCGCAUGGUUCAAAAGUGAAAGACGGUCUUGCUGUCACUUAUAGAUGGAUCCGCGCUGCAUUAGCUAGUUGGUAAGGUAACGGCUUACCAAGGCAACGAUGCAUAGCCGACCUGAGAGGGUGAUCGGCCACACUGGAACUGAGACACGGUCCAGACUCCUACGGGAGGCAGCAGUAGGGAAUCUUCCGCAAUGGGCGAAAGCCUGACGGAGCAACGCCGCGUGAGUGAUGAAGAUCUUCGGAUCGUAAAACUCUGUUAUUAGGGAAGAACAUAUGUGUAAGUAACUGUGCACAUCUUGACGGUACCUAAUCAGAAAGCCACGGCUAACUACGUG
rnacentral:rRNA from 1 species